AUUGAACGCUGGCGGCAGGCCUAACACAUGCAAGUCGAACGAGUGGCGGACGGGUGAGUAAUGUCUGGGAAACUGACUGAUGGAGGGGGAUAACUACUGGAAACGGUCGCUAAUACCGCCUACCCUAGUCUUUGCCCAGAUGGGCUUAGCUAUUUGGGGGGGUAAAGGCUCACCUAGGCGACGAUCCCUAGCUGGUCGGAGAGUAUGACCAGUAACACUGGAACUGAGACACGGCCCAGACUCCGACGGGAGGCAUAAGUGGGGAAUAUUGCACAAGGGGCGCAAGCCUGAUGCACCCAUGCCGCGUGUAGGCAGAAGGCCUUCGGUUUGUAAAGUACUUUCAGCGGGGAGGCGUUACCCGCAGAAGAAGCACCGACUAACUCCGUGCCAGCAGCCGCGGUAAUAC
rnacentral:rRNA from 1 species